AUGGGUGAUGGCGUGCCUUUUGUAGAAUGAACCGGCGAGUUACGUUUAACAUGCAAGGUUAAGCCGAGAAGGUGGAGCCGCAGCGAAAGCGAGUCUGAAUAGGGCGAAUUAGUAUGUGGACGUAGACCCGAAACCGUGUGAUCUACCCCUGUCCAGGGUGAAGGUGCGGUAACACGCACUGGAGGCCCGAACCCACGUACGUUGAAAAGUGCGGGGAUGAGGUGGGGGUAGCGGAGAAAUUCCAAUCGAACUCGGAGAUAGCUGGUUCUCCCCGAAAUAGCUUUAGGGCUAGCCUCGGUAUAAGAGUAGUGGAGGUAGAGCACUGAUUGGGUGCGGGGUCCGCAAGGAUUACCAAGCUCAGUCAAACUCCGAAUGCCAUAUACUUAUUGCCGGGAGUCAGACAGUGAGUGCUAAGAUCCAUUGUCAAAAGGGAAACAGCCCAGACCAUCAGCUAAGGUCCCCAAGUGUGUGUUAAGUGGGAAAGGAUGUGGAGUUGCACAGACAACCAGGAUGUUGGCUUAGAAGCAGCCACCAUUGAAAGAGUGCGUAAUAGCUCACUGGUCGAGUGACUCUGCGCCGAAAAUGUAACGGGGCUAAACACACCACCGAAGCUAUGGCUAGAUACGUAUGUAUCUGGGGUAGGGGAGCGUUGUGUAGGGGUUGAAGGUGUACUGAAAAGAGCGCUGGACACUACACAAGUGAGAAUGCCGGUAUGAGUAACGAAAAGAUCAGUGAGAAUCUGAUCCGCCGAAAGCCCAAGGUUUCCUGAGGAAGGCUCGUCCGCUCAGGGUAAGUCGGGACCUAAGGCGAGGCCGAAAGGCGUAGUCGAAGGACAACAGUUUGAAAUUACUGUACCACCGUAAUCCGCUAUGAGCGAUGGGGUGACGCAGGAGGGUAGUGACGCGGACUGAUGGAUGUCCGUCUAAGCAGUGAGGCUGAUGUGUAGGCAAAUCCGCACAUCAUUAAGGCUGGGCUGUGAUGGGGAGCGAAAAUUAUAGUAGCGAAGGUCAUGAUCUCACACUGCCAAGAAAAGCCUCUAGCCAGGAGAAGGUGCCCGUACCGCAAACCGACACAGGUAGGCGAGAAGAGAAUUCUAAGGCGCGCGGAAGAACUCUCGUUAAGGAACUCGGCAAAAUGACCCCGUAACUUCGGGAGAAGGGGUGCCCCGGUAGUGUGAAUAGCACGAGGGGGCCGCAGUGAAAAGGCCCAAGCGACUGUUUAGCAAAAACACAGGUCUGUGCGAAGCCGCAAGGCGAAGUAUACGGGCUGACGCCUGCCCGGUGCUGGAAGGUUAAGGGGAGUGGUUAGGGGUAACCCGAAGCUAUGAACCGAAGCCCCAGUAAACGGCGGCCGUAACUAUAACGGUCCUAAGGUAGCGAAAUUCCUUGUCAGGUAAAUUCUGACCCGCACGAAUGGCGUAACGACUUGGGCGCUGUCUCAACGAGAGAUCCGGUGAAAUUUUAAUACCUGUGAAGAUGCAGGUUACCCGCGACAAGACGGAAAGACCCCAUGGAGCUUUACUGCAGCUUGAUAUUGAAUUUGGGUACGAUCUGUACAGGAUAGGUGGGAGCCGUAGAAAUCGGAGCGCAAGCUUCGGUGGAGGCGCCGUUGGGAUACCACCCUGAUCGUAUCUAGGUUCUAACCUAGUACCCUUA
rnacentral:rRNA from 2 species